rnacentral:rRNA from 1 species
AGCAGCCGCGGUAAUUCCAGCUCCAAUAGCGUAUAUUAAAGUUGUUGCAGUUAAAAAGCCCGUAGUUGAAUUUUAGGCCUGACCGGACGGUCCGUCUCUGGCGAGUACUGUUCUGUUGUCGGGUCUAUCCUUCUGGUGAGCCGGUAUGUCCUUUAUUGGGUGUGUCGGGGAACCAGGACCAUUACCUUGAAAAAAUUAGAGUGUUUAAAGCGGGCUUUUGCUUGAAUAGAUUAGCAUGGAAUAAUAGAAUAGGACGUUGGUUCUAUUUUGUUGGUCUAGGACCACCGUAAUGAUUAAUAGGGAUAGUUGGGGGCAUUAGUAUUCAAUUGUCAGAGGUGAAAUUCUUGGAUUUAUUGAAGACUAACUACUGCGAAAGCAUUUGCCAAGGAUGUUUUCAUUAAUCAAGAACGAAAGUUAGGGGAUCGAAGACGAUCAGAUACCGUCGUAGUCUUAACCAUAAACUAUGCCGACUAGGAAUCGGGCGACGUUAUUUUCAUGACUCGCUCGGCGUCUUAUG